GUCCCCGUAGCUCAGCCGGAUAGAGCAACAGUUUCCUAAACUGUGGGUCGGGUGUUCGAGUCACCCCGGGGACGCCA
rnacentral:tRNA from 1 species